rnacentral:lncRNA from 13 species
GGAUAACAAACUAUAGACACAGAGCCACUCUUUAACACACAUGUUGGAUUUAAUGCAUGAUUCAAUAUAUAUUUCGUAAAUAUGGAAUAAUAUUUGUGCUUGGUAGAGACACAGUAACCUUGGACAUGGUAAAGGAGUUAGUUGGCUUCUCUUACAUCUUUUCUUGCCAAGAAAAGUCUGGAAUCAUCAAAGACACCAGUGACCCCUUCAGCUCACCUUAGGCAGAUUCCAGAGACAGGAAUGGAAGCCGUCUGGUGUGGAGAGAUUUCACUGAGGAGAAGCCCUUCUCCGUCCAUGUCCAGACUGCUGAGAUGGGUUUGCAGGAGCCACUGCUUUGAAUUGGGAUCCCUCCUGUCUGCACAACAGGGAACGUAUUCGCUCAGGGAAUCUUCAGAAGGCUGUGCAGUCGCCCAGCAGGAAGGGGUGAAUGCCAGCAGAACUGGAAGGCUGGAGUGCAGUGGCACCAUCUCAGCUCACUGCAACCUCCACCUCCCAGGUUCAAGCAAUCCUCCCGCCUACAGGGACUAUUCACGUGUAGGAGGCAUGAAGGCCAGGGCACGUGAAAACACGCCUGCCACCCUGUACACCGUUCAGCAGGUCCGAGAAGGAGCUUACGUUUCCAGAGUAAGAGGAGAGGUGAACAAGCACACAAAAGGGGCUGCCUCCUCCCCGAGGCACGAGACAGGCAAGGCCAUCCUCACAGGCAAUGCUGAGUGGAAUCAACUUCUGGAUGUAGAGCACAGAAGCCACACCAUGUGUGGGUCCUUUGCACUGAUUGAACAAUUUCCAGAAAGCCACUGCUCCUCUCUUGUGUUACAAGAAGAAAAAAAACUUCUUCAUCUCACAUAUAAAGUCAAACUGGGAGUAUUAUUAACAUACCUGAAUGCUGACAUACCUGAGGCCAAUUCCUACCCCGAUGCUCUCAUAUUUGCAUCUGUGAUUUAUAACAGCACUAUUCUUUAAUUAAAUUUUAAUUGCACCAGGACUACACACAUAUAUUCUCUUUGAAAUUCAAGGGUAAUGCUGAAGUUCUCAUCAACCAUUCCUUCAAACCCCCCACCCCCUCCUCUCUUUUCCCCGGGCUCAGCUGUUGGUUUGUUUUCUACCUGUCGGACUGCUCUGUAAAAUUGUGUACAUGUAUUGGACCCUACAGCUUGAGAGGUUAGAGUAUGUGGUGUGGCUCUG